rnacentral:misc_RNA from 1 species
GGCAAGGAGGUAAAAAUGUUCACCAAA